UACGUAGGGGGCUAGCGUUGUCCGGAAUCAUUGGGCGUAAAGAGCGUGUAGGCGGCCCGGUAAGUCCGCUGUAAAAGUCAAAGGCUCAACCUUUGAAUGUCAGUGGAUACUGCCGGGCUAGAGUCCGGAAGAGGUGAGUGGAACUCCUGGUGUAGCGGUGGAAUGCGCAGAUAUCAGGAGGAACACCGAUGGCGAAGGCAGAUCUCUGGGCCGUAACUGACGCUGAGGAGCGAAAGCAUGGGGAGCGAACAGG
rnacentral:rRNA from 1 species